ACGUAGGGUGCAGGCGUUAAUCGGAAUUACUGGGCGUAAAGCGUGCGCAGGCGGUUUGCUAAGACAGGUGUGAAAUCCCCGGGCCUAACCUGGGAACUGCGCUUGUAACUGGCAAGCUGGAGUGUGGCAGAGGGGGGUGGAAUUCCCAGUGUAGCGGUGAAAUGCGUAGAUAUUGGGAGGAACACCGGUGGCGAAGGCGGCCCCCUGGACCGGUACUGACGCUGAUGCGCGAAAGCGUGGGUAGCAAACGGGA
rnacentral:rRNA from 1 species